rnacentral:rRNA from 1 species
CGUGUAGGCGGACUGUUAAGUACUGUGUGAAAUCCCCCGGCUCAACCGGGGAACUGCUUGGUAAACUGGCAGUCUUGAGGCAGGUAGAGGUGAGUGGAACUCUAGGUGGAGCGGUGAAAUGCGUAGAUAUCUAGAGGAACGCCGGUGGCGAAAGCGACUCACUGGGCCUGUUCUGACGCUGAGACGCGAAAGCGUAGGGAGCGAACAGGAUUAGAUACCCUGGUAGUCC